CAAUAGCGUAUAUUAAAGCUGUUGCGGUUAAAAAGCUCGUAGUUGGAUUUCUGUCAAGGACAACUGGUCCGCCCUCCGGGUGAGCACAUAGUUUGGUCUUGGCAUCUUGCUGGAAGCUGUUGCUGCACUUGGCUGUGUGGCGCAGCGUCCAGCACUUUCACUUUGAGGAAAUUGGAGUGUUUCAAGCAGGCACAUGCCUUUGGACACAGUAGCAUGGAAUAAUUAGAUUGGGCUUUUGCUCCAAUUUGUCGGUUUCUGGAGCUGAGGUGAGAAUUAAUGGGGAUUGUUGGGGGCAUCCGAAUUUAGCUGUCAGAGGUGAAAUUCUUGGAUCUGCUAAAGACGGACAACUGCGAAAGCGUUUGCCCAGGAUGUUUUCAUUGA
rnacentral:rRNA from 1 species